UUGUUCUACGGGAGGCAGCAGUCGGGAAUAUUGCGCAAUGGAGGAAACUCUGACGCAGUGACGCCGCGUAUAGGAAGAAGGUUUUCGGAUUGUAAACUAUUGUCGUUAGGGAAGAAAAAGGACAGUACCUAAGGAGGAAGCUCCGGCUAACUACGUGCCAGCAGCCGCGGUAAUACGUAGGGAGCGAGCGUUAUCCGGAUUUAUUGGGUGUAAAGGGUGCGUAGACGGGCUAACAAGUUGGUUGUGAAAUCCCUCGGCUUAACUGAGGAACUGCAACCAAAACUGUCAGUCUUGAGUGCAGGAGG
rnacentral:rRNA from 1 species